rnacentral:lncRNA from 14 species
GGGGCCUGCUGGGGCCUGAGGGCUCGGACGGCCCCGGGACGGGCACCGGCCGAUCCCGCCCUCCCCGAGCCCCAGUGCAGCGUCCUGGGUGAAGGUGGCACUGACUGCAAUUGCAAGGCAAUUCUGGAAGAGUCACCAGAGGAGGAAGAGGCAUCAGGGGACACAAAGCUGCUGGGGUAAUGAGCUAAAGCCUUCUGAAGUGCUCCCAGAUGGCAGCUCCCACCUCUGGCCGCUCUGGAUUCCUGUUUGCCACCCUUCUUCUCAUUGCUACCUGGCCUCAGGAGAGAAGCCUUCCCAACUGGUGAUCAGCCUGGUGCAACCACAGUCCCUCUUAGCUGCUGAUUUUUCUUUGGUCAUUUCUGACAAUUUCUGGAGUGAGUUUGCUAGUAAGUAAACCCGGCACCUGCAUCCUUCUCAGACUCAUUCUCUGUGUCGCCACUAGUGAGUCACAGGUUCAUUUGCUUUUUCUCU